rnacentral:rRNA from 1 species
CACGGAGUUAGCCGAUCCUUAUUCCUUCGGUACAUUCAGCUUCCUACACGUAGAAAGGUUUAUUCCCGAAUAAAAGCAGUUUACAACCCGGAGGGCCGUCUUCCUGCACGCGGCAUGGCUGGUUCAGGCUUGCGCCCAUUGACCAAUAUUCCUUACUGCUGCCUCCCGUAGGAGUCUGGUCCGUGUCUCAGUACCAGUGUGGGGGGCCAUCCUCUCAGAUCCCCUAGCCAUCGCGGUCUUGGUGGGCCGUUACCCCGCCAACUAACUAAUGGCACGCAUGCCCAUCCAAACCCCAUGAAUGUUUGACCAUUGCACGAUGCCGUGCUGUGGUUUUAUGCGGUAUUAAUCCGGAUUUCUCCGGGCUAUCCCCCAGGUUUGGGCAGGUUGCAUACGCGUUACGCACCCGUGCGCCGGUCUCAAGGCUGCAAGCAGCCUCUACCCCUCGACUUGCAUGUAUUAGGCCUGCCGCUAGCGUUCAUCCUGAGCCAGGAUCAAACUCU